AUUGAACGCUGGCGGCAGGCCUAACACAUGCAAGUCGAGCGGAUGAAGGGAGCUUGCUCCUGGAUUCAGCGGCGGGCGGGUGAGUAAUGCCUAGGAAUCUGCCUGGUAGCGGGGGAUAACGUCCGGAAACGGGCGCUAAUACCGCAUACGUCCUGAGGGAGAAAGGGGGGGAUCUUCGGACCUCACGCUAUCAGAUGAGCCUAGGUCGGAUUAGCUAGUUGGUGGGGUAAAGGCCUACCAAGGCGACGAUCCGUAACUGGUCUGAGAGGAUGAUCAGUCACACUGGAACUGAGACACGGUCCAGACUCCUACGGGAGGCAGCAGUGGGGAAUAUUGGACAAUGGGCGAAAGCCUGAUCCAGCCAUGCCGCGUGUGUGAAGAAGGUCUUCGGAUUGUAAAGCACUUUAAGUUGGGAGGAAGGGCAGUAAGUUAAUACCUUGCUGUUUUGACGUUACCAACAGAAUAAGCACCGGCUAACUUCGUG
rnacentral:rRNA from 1 species